GGUCAAGUGUAUGGGAAGUGCGUGACCGUCCGUAAAUUUAUUUUUGCCUCUUUUUUGGUCACACUCCAGUGGUCUCGAUUGACGGUGUUACGCGCAUAAUCAACUGAACAUUGCCAUGAUGUGAAUACUGUUGAUACUGAUGAUGUGGAUGCUGCUGAUGUGGAUGAUGAUAAUGGCUGCUGAUGUGGAUGAUGAUAAUGUGGAUGCCUCCGGACUGAAAUAGCUGGACAGUGCCAUGAUGUGAAUACUGAUGAUACUGAUGAUGUGGAUGCUGAUGAUGUGGAUGCUGAUGAUGUGGAUGCCUCCGUUGAUCAACCAGGGACUGAAAUAUCUGGACAGUGCCAUGAUGUGAAUACUGAUGAUACUGAUGAUGUGGAUGCUGAUGAUGUGGAUGCUGAUAAUGUGGAUGCCUCCGUUGAUCAACCAGGGACUGAAAUAGGUCAACUCGAAGCAGUCGUAAAUGCUGGGAUUGGCACAAACCAUGAAAAACGAACAGCCACAGUCAGAACACCUUGGAGCUAGGCUGAAGAAGACGUGGUAGAAAAUGGCCUUAAAAAGUGUUUUAAGCUUAAUACUCCACCAAAAAUAAGUUAGAAUGUCUUGAACUUAUAAAGAAGUAUCCAAUUCUUGCCAGGCGAUCAAGGACAAUGGUAAAAUGGUACAUUAGAACAAGGCAACUGGCCUUGCAAUAGGCUCAUCAAAAAGCAAACAAUUAAACAAAUAGAUACUUUAAAUUAUAGAAUAGGCUAGAUUGCAUUUUGAUUUAAGCUUUAUAUCUGAAUACCAUCAGUGAUUGACAUUUUCUUUGGAUAUUGUUCUAUUUUUAUUUCUUUUUUAACAAUUAAAAAUUUGAAAUUGAAUAUGGUAAUAACUUGUCUACCUUGGAGGUGAUUUUGCUAGAAUUGUCCAUGAUGUUUGUGGUCAUUUACACUGCAGUGUAUUCAAUUGUUUUGUUUUUUGUUCCAUGGUAAAUAAUGGUGUAUGGUAUUGUUUUGCAUUGAAUGCUUCUGUCACUUCUCAGUGAUGUGAUGUUUUUCGUGUUGUUGGAUAAAUUGAUGAAAUGCAAAUGAAAUAUCAUCAUGUAUGAACAUGUCAAACAAAAAUGUAUUAACUUUCUUCUGUUUGCUAUCAAAAGGUUAAGUAUUUGUUUGGUUGAAUUGUAUCUAGAGCCAAUGAAUGAAGAUUUGUUUAUUACUGAAAUUUGAUAUGCAUUAAUUUUUGUAAAAGAAAAUUUUUCAGAAAAAAGUGUCUUGGUAUUGUGAUAUGCCUUGGCACCUGUCAGGGCUGUGGGCCUGUGGGCAUCAUGCAGUCUUUUACCUAGGACAGUAACUAAAUCACUUCAUAUUUAAAUAAAAUUUGGUUAAGAUGCUGCCAGGGACAAUAUGCAUGUGUACAUCAAGGGGCAUAACUCUCGCUUUAGUUUGUAUUGAGUUAUGCCUCAUUUUCGAAGGAGAAAAAAACAGACGAGCGCUGGAAUUCUCUUGUUGACCUUGGCAAGAUCAAGGUUCAAUGUUGAAAUAAGAUAUGCCUUGUAAGUUAUUUUAACUAACAGGGGAAAGUCUGACAAUCAAGUUUAGUAGCUUUAAUAGUGAUUGUUGUGUAAAGUGGACUUUCAACAUAUUUUAUCAUAUAAAUAGAAGUAUGAAUUCUGCUCUUUGGAGCUAAAAACUAUCUACUUUCCGGCUAUUGAUAAUUAUGUACUUAUUUCACAUAUCCGAGCAUGUUAUGUAUCCGAGGUUCUUUUGACAUGUAUUUGUAUCCAUUUGUCUACAUUAUACUGAUUACUUAAAAUGGAUAUAUUCGUAUUUAAUACCUGUCUUGUAAUGAUCAGCUAUAUAAAUAUAUCCAUCCAUCUGAAGUUUCUGUUAAUUGACACUUAACUAUUACAGUAUUACAAUCGGACCAAUAAAAUACUUCUGAAAACUUUA